rnacentral:rRNA from 1 species
UACGGGGGGUGCGAGCGUUGUCCGGAAUUACUGGGCGUAAAGCGUGCGCAGGCGGUUUGUUAAGUCCGUUGUGAAAUCCCCGAGCUCAACUUGGGAAUUGCAAUGGAUACUGGCAAGCUGGAGUAUGGUAGAGGAAGGUGGAAUUCCCGGUGUAGCAGUGAAAUGCGUAGAGAUCGGGAGGAACACCAGUGGCGAAGGCGGCCUUCUGGACCAAUACUGACGCUCAUGCACGAAAGCGUGGGGAGCAAACAGG